AACGAACGCUGGCGGCAUGCCUAACACCUGCAAGUCGAACGAGCCCUUCGGGGUUAGUGGCGCACGGGUGCGUAACGCGUGGGAAUCUGCCCUUUGCUUCGGAAUAACUGAGAGACAUUUCAGCUAAAACCGGAUGAUGUCUUCGGACCAAAGAUUUAUCGGCAAGGGAUGAGCCCGCGUAGGAUUAGCUAGUUGGUGGGGUAAUGGCCUACCAAGGCGACGAUCCUUAGCUGGUCUGAGAGGAUGAUCAGCCACACUGGGACUGAGACACGGCCCAGACUCCUACGGGAGGCAGCAGUGGGGAAUAUUGGACAAUGGGGGAAACCCUGAUCCAGCAAUGCCGCGUGAGUGAUGAAGGCCUUAGGGUUGUAAAGCUCUUUUACCAGGGAUGAUAAUGACAGUACCUGGAGAAUAAGCUCCGGCUAACUCCGUGCCAGCAGCCGCUGUAAAAC
rnacentral:rRNA from 1 species